AGGGCCCCCCCGAGAGGGGCCCCCGGCGUUUAUUUUGACCCCUCACGGGGAAACCUCCCCCGCCUGGACAACGGAAAGAAUGACAGAUUGACAGCUCUUUCUUGAUUUAGUGGGUGGUGGUGCAUGGCCGCUCUUAGUUGGUGGAGCGAUCUCUCUGCUUAUUUCCGAUACGAAAGGAGAUCUUACCUAAUAAAUAGGCUUCCGGGUUUAAAACCCCAGGAGGAAAUUUAAAGGGACGGUGCCGGUUCACCAGACGAUAGAGAGUAUAACAGGUCUGUGAUGCCCUUUGUUGUCCGGGGCCGCACGCGCGCUACUUGAAGAAAUCAGCGUGCUUUAUGUUCCUGCUCCGACCGGAGUGGGGAACCCAGUGAACCUUCUUCGUGAUUGGGAUAGAAGAUUGUAAUUAUUCUUCUUGAACGAGGAAUUCCCAGUAAAUGCGAGUCAUAAGCUCGCGUUGAUUACGUCCCUGCCCUUUGUACACACCGCCCGUCGCUACUACCGAUUGAACGAUUUAGUGAG
rnacentral:rRNA from 1 species